GCUAUCCUUUAAUCUCAGUGACUGUCUAUAUGGUCAAAGCCUUUAGCUGUGCCAUCCAAUAUGGUAGCCACUAGUUAUAUGUGGCUAUUAAGAUACGUUCAAAGUAUUAAACACACAAAAGAUUUUGCAUUUACUCCAAGAAAAGUACAAAAUAUGUCAUAAUUUUUGCUACAAUAAUUUUAUUGUUACAUACACACAUUUUCAGGAUAAAAAUCAAAUAAUUCGUUUCACUUAGGAAUGUAUUAUACAAAAAAGUGAGACUUCAACAGACAAGCACAAGAACUUACUAUAGUUAAAAUUUAUCUCCUUAAAUAUUUUUGAUGCACAAAUUUAACUUGGUAUACCACACCAUAAAUCUAAACUAUCUUGAGUUUAAAUAGAUUGGUAGUGUCCUCACUCCCCGACCUUCCAUGGAUGGUGACACAAAGGAUGAAACAAAGGAUGGGGAAAAAGAUGUAUAUGAGAUGAUGUACAGAGGAUGAAACAUUAGUAAUUAUGAUGCUGAUCUCUAGUAAGCUAACCUUUCAACUUACAAAUCAAUAAAAGCUAAUAGGUAAACAAUUUUACUUCUAGAAAAACAAAUCUGUAUCAAACAAGAAGUGCUUAUAUUUACUAAAGUAUAUAUGAUUAUGGUGAAAAUUUUCCCCGUUAUCUCAAAAUGGCAGCAAAGAGAACUGCUCACCUCCUACUAUAAUUUUUCUUUAUAAUUAGUGUACAGCAUUACCUUCGGUAAUCUCAAUCCUUUCACUUUUAUCAUCCUCCUCCUUUAAAAUCUUUCCUUUCCCCAACUAUCUUCUCAAGCUUUGCUACUUACUAAGAGUGGGUCCCAGGCCAGCAUCAUCAGCAUCUUCUGGGAGCCCAUUAGAAAGGCAGAAUCUCAAGUUCCUCCCACGACUUAUUAAAUCAGAAUUGACAUUUUAACAAGAUCCACUCCCACCAGCCCCAAGAUCCGCUGGGAGAUUAAAUUUAAGCAUCUCCGCUCUACACUUGGUGGAAAGGAUUUCUAGCCUCACGGUCUGUGUCUCUUGUUCUUACCCUUUAUAUGUUUUCAUUGGUCCUCAGGUUAAUAAGGUUAGUAAGCAUCUUAAAAACUAUUGAUUUCAAAACUUCCAUUUUACAGAUAAACUAGAAAUAAACUUUAAUGCCUAGCACAAGACCUUACAAGAAAAGGCCCUUAAUAAAAGACAAGUUGGAAGACAAAGGCAAGAUGACAGAGAAGUUGAAGCUAAAAGAGGUUAAGGAUUUAGACGGUUUCUAUAGCUAAUUAGUUGCAUGGUGAAACUGUGUCUCAUGUUGACUCCAAAGAUCAAUGCUCAUUCCAAUAUACGAUGCAAGGCAAAGCCAGAGUUGCUGAGUCCCACCUCCCCCAACUUCUCACUGGGAUGUACGUAAGAGAGUAUGUCCUUGUGAAUAGGUGAAUGUGCACACAUGUGAAAACCUAGGUCUGCCCAGCUCUGGAGUGCUUCCCAAGAGAACAGUGUGAAAUAUUAGAAGUUUAGGCCAGGUGCGGUGGCUCUUGCCUGUAAUUCUAGCACUUUGGGAGGCUGAGGCGGGCAGAUCACGAGGUCAGGAGUUCGAGACCAGCCUGGCCAACAUGGUGAAACCCCAUCUCUACUAAAAAUACAAAAAUUAGCCAGCUGCAGUAAUGGGCGCCUGUGAUCCCAGCUACUUGGGAGGCUGAGGCAGGAGAAUUGCUUGAACCUGGGAGGCAGAGGUUGCAGUGAGCCAAGAUUGUGCCACUGCACUCCAGCCUGGGUGACAGAGCAAGACUCCGUCUGGGGGGAAGAAAAGAAGUUUAUAAUUUCCUGUACUAUAUUCUUUGAUCCUCUUCUCUUCUACUAAAAAAUACCCGUGGUCACUGGUAGGUAGGAAUCAAGAAGUAAAAAGUAAAAGUAAUAUGAGACAACUUUCAAACAUAGAAACAACUAGCCUGAAUUGGGUUGGGAAUUAUUACUUGAUUAUGCAACUGUUCACUCUCCCCUACUUCUUUUCGUCUAUACACUUCUGUCACCCUCUUCCUGUGCCAUUCCCCGCUGCAUCUCUUAUUUAACUGUCACAGAAAAGACAAAGUUGAAAAGUUACUUGUACAAUCCUUGUUGCUCUUUGGAAUAAAAACACUACCUAAAUCCUAUAAUUAUUAUAAAUAAUAACUUAUAAUUCCUAGUAUUUUAAAAUUUUUACCAGGUAUUUUCAUAAAAAUUACCUUAAAGUCAUCAUAACAGCAUGUCACUGUUUUUGAUAGUAACAGUGAUUAUAAAAAGAUGGACAAUUAUUGGACAUGAUAAAUCUAUUUACAUUUUUUCAAAUAAUAUCAUAUUAUAAAAAUUAUAAAAGCAGAAAAAGUUCAGGCAAUAAACCCAAAAAAAUGACUAGCAGGAAAAGCAACACCACAAUUUUACUUUUAAAAAAGCAAAGAAUCCAGUAUUAAAGUUGGUAUAAAACAUUGCAGUAAUGCUCAAAAGAUAAUGCUUUAAAAUAAAAGUAUUGUGGUGCUAAAUAUAAUGGAUUAAAUUAUGUCUUAUGAAAAGACCAGAAGAAGGUGACAGGUAUAUAAACAAUUCACAAUAAAACUAGCCAGCAGGUCAGUAAACAGAGAGAGCUUUAAUGAUUUGAAUAUCUGAUUUGAUUUCUUAUAUAUCAGUGCCUUAUGCCUAUUUAACAUUUGACAAUAAAAUAUACUUAACUAUGAUUAACAGGAGCACCUGAGAUUGCAGAGUUUACACUACAACAGAAAUAUAACUACUGAAAUACACCAUUCACUGUAAGAAUCCGUAUUACAGCUAACCUUAUUACAAAAGCAUUUAUCAGAAUUUUAAGUCUCCUAAACUCCAUCUUGGAUAAAAUAUAGUAACAAUAUGGAUAAAUCAAAGACUACUAGCACUUCAUAAAUAAUUACUGCAUGUAUUAGAUUAUUCCUACUAACAGAAUAGAUUAAACAGCAGAUCAGAUGAAGAUAAAAAGAGAAUUAAAUAACUGGAGCACAGAACCGAAGAUAUUACCUGUAAUGUGGCACACACAAAAAAACAAUGAAAUGAAAACUAGGAGAAAAGGGCUAAGAGACAUUAAGAAUAAAAUGAGAAAGUGCAACAUAUGUCUGUCUAAAAAGAUAGAAGACUGAGUCGGGCGGGGUAACUCUUUGAAAAUCUGUUUGUGAACCCAUAAAAUGGAUCCUAUAAACGUGCUCCUUAGAAAACAUUAAGUGUUAUUCAAAUAUUUACUGUUGUCACUAACCUUUAAAAUAUAUAUAUAAAAAAGAAAACUGACAGGUAACAGAAUAAUUUACUUUUUAAUAAACUUGAGAAAGAAAAAACCUACAUGUCACAGUAAGGACCUUUUAACAUAACUUAAAUCAAAAGAUACCAAAGAAUAGGAGAGAAAACAUUAAGUGGGGUGAAGUGGUAGAAGAAAGAAUUGAUAGAAGGAAGGAUGAAGAGUAUCUUUACAUUAUGAAAAAUGAUAACAUUGAAAAAUAAAACACACUUACAGUUCAAAAGAUUUAAUUUCAUAAACCAAACUCAGAAUAAUGACUUGCCCAGUAUAUUCAUUAAAUUGACCAAAAUAUCUGGCUGAGAUAUAUUAUUUUAGUAGGCAAUUAGGUCUAUCCAAUUUUUAAAAAAUUAAUUGGAAAUAUAUAUUUUACCCUUACAAGGAAUUCUGUAUAGCUUGAUGGUUAAGUCCUUGGGAAAUUGGCCACAGGGUAGCGUUAAAAUCCUGUGACCUUGAACAAGUCAUUUAAGGCAUUUGUCCCUCAGUUUCCUGGUCUAUAAGAUGGAGAGGAGAUAAUAUUGACCUAAUUAGGCUUUUUGUGAACAUUAAAUGAUUUGAUAUACAUAAAAAGAUUAGAAUAACACCUGGCAAUUAAUAAGAACUCAAUAAAUGUUAGCUAUUAUAAUGAAUAGUAAUCAAAUAUUUCUGCCCUUUUAUAUUAGUUUAACACAAAAGCUGAUAUGAAAAAUAAUAAUAUUCUAUAAUGAAAUAUUAUACUGCCAAACGAAUGAAAAUAUAGGUAUGAUUUAGAAUCUCUCCGCCAUUUUUUCGAAGUGUAAAAAGCAAGGUUAAAGUCACAGAAGCUCUAUUUGUACAGAUGAGUAUGGAAGGGACUGGGCAUAGGGAAGGACUUCCUACUGGAUACUUUCUGUCUAUCUGAAUUUUAAAACCUGUGUAUUUAUUAUUUUAAAAUAAUGAUAAUUAAAAGAAAAGAACACUAGCUAGGACUUCCCAGGAAACAUAACACAUUGAUCAUAUAUUUAUUUCAGCUUCCUCCCAAAGCCCAAUUAAAAUCAAUAGAAUAAAAAGGUACAACUCCACAAGGACAAAGAGAAUAGGAAUAAGAUACCAAUAGACAAAAUAUGUCAACAGGCCAGGUGUGGUGGCUCAUACCC
rnacentral:lncRNA from 10 species